GCCGAGUCUCAUCGCUUCGCCGCCCGGGUCUGACUGCCCGUGGCGCGGCCUGAGGCCGGCCCCGGCCCCCCGAGCGGCGCCGAGGGCGCGGAGCUCUCUGUCCCAGAGCGACGCCUCCCCUUAGCCCCUGCGGCGCCGCUCGCUGGGCGGGGACCUCCCGCCCGGGGGCCGGGCCGUCACGUUCCGCUGGGCGCCGACGCACCCUGUGCAGCCCCGCUGAUUCCCGGCUGCCGGAAAGGGCCGGCACAAAACAGCCCUGGGAUGGGCAGCCCGUGAAAGUCCUCAGCCCACUGUUGUGAGGGGGGCAGGUGCCUCGCGCGGGGAUGUUCACCUCGAAGCUUAGUGGGGCACCCUUUAACCACCUGAGGUGGGCUGGGUAAUGCUGCCGAGGGUGAAGCUCUGCAGCACUCUGCAAACGUAUGUAGUUAGACAGGACUUCACAAGCAGCACCAGUUGUAGACGCCUUCUACCUUUGGAUAUACAAAGGCAAAUCCUUCCUUCAGUGCCUGGCUCUGCUAUAGACUUCUUUAGUACCCUGGGGCACAUCAUUUAAUCUGUCUGUACUUCAAUUUUCUAUCAGUAAAAUGGGUAUAAUAGUUCCUUUGUCUCUUUUAGAUUGUAAACUUUUCUGGGCAUGAACUCUUAAUACAUGUAGUGCAGCUAAUGUGCACUAUAAUAAAGUACCAAAUUUUGUAAAAACAAGCUUUUAUAAAAUUUAAGACCAAUUAUUUAUUUCCAAAAUACAUUAUUCUAAUAAUAUUUUAUCUUGCAACGUUUGAACCCAAACAUCCUAGUAUUAAGAGUGUGGAACUCUCUUUAAACAAAACGGGAAAAGUUUUAUUGACUUUCCUUGUCCCAGAUGGAAGAAAUACAAUAAAGAAACACAGACAAUAAAUAGUGAAAAGAAAACAACAUUUUAAAGAUACUUUCACUUUUCAUAUCUAACUUCUUAAUAAUAUGUAAAGAAAUUUUUAUUUACAGUAUGAUUAAGUUGAUUGCCUUUAUGUAAACACUUUUAUUUUUAAUGGUAAACUUUGCAUACAACAGCAAGAAAGCAGAUCCCUUCUAGAAAUGUUACCACGUUGAACCCACACAUAUUCUGUUGUGCACAUCUUUAUGGGAUUAGGAUGUAUGCUUGUUGAAAGAUGGUAGUUUAGGGUAGUCAUAGUAAUGCCUUUCAAAAAUGCAUUUAGCAUAGCAUUUGUUAUAAAGAAUAAGAAUUCUUAUAAUAGGAUAAUCAUGGAAGAUAAGUUGUUCCUAAAAAAUAUGGGAAAAGAGGUAAUGGCAGUCUGCUUCUUCCUAAAUAAUGGCAUUUUUCAUAGUAAGAUGCAAAAAAUUCAUAUGACUAAAUAAAGAUUCUGUAGUAGAAUGACUCUUGCCUGUUAUGUUGUUACUGAAGAGCUACACUUCGGUAGCCUUGUCAUGUGAUUCUGCAAAGCAGAAAAUAACUUCUCCAUGACAGUACUGUUUUUGCAUCACUGUCAUGAUAGGCUGCAUGGGCUGGAAUUCUUGCAAAGAGACUGGGUUUCUUUCUUUAUCUGGGAUGCCUGCAGUACUAGCAUAGGCAUAAGGAAAGUGAUGCUCCUAAUAAGAGCUGAUUGCACUCCUGUAAAAGAGGAGCAAUAUUUGUAGGAAAGAGUGAAGGGAAUGAAAGAAGGAAAAUGAGGACCACUGGUAAAUACUAAGAUUAAACAUGCAGACUCCAUUAGACCUGUUACCUGGUUCCUACUUCCCAAAAGAGCCCUCUUAGAAGCAGAUACAAGGCAAGUAACUGGUUGGUAAGACCUCAGAAAUAGCUUUCCUUCCAAUAAAAGAUUGUAAAAUCUGAUACUUUUAUUAAUAAUCUGAUGGUUUAAAGGAAAUCAGCCAUUCAGCAUUUUGACUGUCUGGCCUUUUCCAUCAGUUAUUGGACAAAUUGAUAUCAGAUAAUGAUCACCCAUCAUGAGUGACUGAAAAUGAUCCUAUGACAAUUCAAUACAAGUUUCAGAGUAGCAGCCGUGUUAGUCUGUAUUCGCAAAAAGAAAAGGAGUAC